GACGAACGCUGGCGGCGUGCCUAAUACAUGCAAGUCGAGCGCAGGAAACUGACGGAACUCUUCGGAGGGAAGGCAGCGGAAUGAGCGGCGGACGGGUGAGUAACACGUAAGGAACCUGCCUCAAGGAUUGGGAUAACUCCGAGAAAUCGGAGCUAAUACCGGAUAGUUCAUCGGACCGCAUGGUCCGUUGAUGAAAGGCGCUCCGGCGUCACCUUGAGAUGGCCUUGCGGUGCAUUAGCUAGUUGGUGGGGUAACGGCCCACCAAGGCGACGGUGCAUAGCCGGCCUGGGAGGGUGAUCGGCCACACUGGGACUGAGACACGGCCCAGACUCCUACGGGAGGCAGCAGUAGGGAAUCUUCCACAAUGGACGAAAGUCUGAUGGAGCAACGCCGCGUGAGUGAUGAAGGUUUUCGGAUCGUAAAACUCUGUUGUAAGGGAAGAACACGUACGAGAGGAAAUGCUCGUACCUUGACGGUACCUUACGAGAAAGCCACGGCUAACUACGUGCCAGCCGCCGCAGUAA
rnacentral:rRNA from 1 species